UACAGAGGUCCCAAGCGUUGUUCGGAUUUACUGGGCGUAAAGGGUGCGUAGGUGGCGAGGUAAGUUCGAUGUGAAAUCUCCGAGCUCAACUCGGAAAUGGCAUUGAAUACUAUCCCGCUUGAGGGUCGGUAGGGGAGACUGGAAUUCCUGGUGUAGCGGUGAAAUGCGCAGAUAUCAGGAGGAACACCGAUGGCGAAGGCAGGUCUCUGGGCCGAUACUGACGCUGAGGAGCGAAAGCGUGGGGAGCGAACAGG
rnacentral:rRNA from 1 species